CCUACGGGAGGCAGCAGUGAGGAAUAUUGGUCAAUGGACGAGAGUCUGAACCAGCCAAGUAGCGUGAAGGAUGACUGCCCUAUGGGUUGUAAACUUCUUUUAUAUGGGAAUAAAACGUUCCACGUGUGGGAUUUUGUAUGUACCAUAUGAAUAAGGAUCGGCUAACUCCGUGCCAGCAGCCGCGGUAAUACGGAGGAUCCGAGCGUUAUCCGGAUUUAUUGGGUUUAAAGGGAGCGUAGGUGGAUUGUUAAGUCAGUUGUGAAAGUUUGCGGUUCAACCGUAAAAUUGCAGUUGAAACUGGCAGUCUUGAGUACAGUAGAGGUGGGCGGAAUUCGUGGUGUAGAGGUGAAAUGCUUAGAUAUCACGAAGAACUCCGAUUGCGAAGGCAGUUCACUGGACUGCAACUGACACUGAGGCUCGAAAGUGUGGGUAUCAAACAGGAUUAGAUACCCGAGUAGUC
rnacentral:rRNA from 1 species